AGUGCCUAUUCCAUAUCAAAUAAUUUUGCUGGUAACAACUCGCUUUUGUUAUAACUUGAUGACCAUGUCUCUUAAGUUAACAGCUUCAUACUUCUUUGUUCGGGAUUUUAUCAACCCUUUAUAUGGUUUCUUGCCAUAGUAACACUUUA